UCCAAGCAGAGGGAAUAAAAGCGCUAUUUUGCCGUGAUUUCAGUCAAUCCAGUGUUGCUGGUUGUCAUGAAAAGUGCUUAAAUUUUCAAAAAUAGAAUAAAAGUUAACCUGCAAAGUGAUGCUCUUCUUUCUUGUUUAGUUAAAUAAACUCUUAAGGACCUUAAAUGACAAAUUAUUUUCAUGAUACAGUAUUUGUCAAAUUGGAAGAUCUCGCAGCGGAGUGUCGAACCAGCAGCCAUAUUGGUUACAUUUUGGGUGCAUGUUAAAGCUCCUCACUGUCGUCAAGCCACCCUCCCCAUGAAGUUAUACAAGGAGUAGAUUUGGAGCUGCCAUCUCCCGAAAAGCAUGGCAAGUGUCCCAUUCAACACUGGUGGCGCCGAAUCUGCAGGGACGCCAUCACCUCGUUGUACGACUUCCUGACUACCUAUAUGGUCAUCGGCAUUGUCCACACCUUUGGCGUGUUUUCCUUGAUCUAAAAAUUACUUUAACAAAUUUUAAAAGGUGUGCAGUGUUCAAGUGGCUCUUAUUUUUGCAGGAAAGCGAUUUAGAUAUUUUCUUUUGCAGUGGCGAUCUGCCAGUGUGCAACCAGAGGAAAAUUCAAAAAUAUGGAGCUAAAAGUAAAUUUAUAGUUACAUAACACAUUUCAUUCUCAACUGAAAAACCUCCACUUUAUUCCGGGUCAUAAAUGCAGUUAUCAGCAUUUUUUUCUCCGCAGCCUAUUUCAGUUAGUCCUGUUCUGAUCUAAAAAAAUAUUGGGGGUGCCACGGCGGUCCACUGGUUGGGCUGUCUUCCUCAGUGCAGAGGUCCAGAAGUCAGGUUUUGGCCUUACUGUGUUAAGUUGGUUUGUUCUCACUCUCGUGGGUACGUUGUCCUCCCACAUUCCAAAAGCAUGCAUGGCAGGUAAUUGGAACACACAAGUUGUCAUGUGUAAUAAAUAACGUUGAGCUUCUGCAAUAAUUUUGUGACUCUAUUUACACUCACUUGUACAAAAAUUCAGCAAAAAAAUUGACUGAUUUCAAAACAAGUGAUCCAUCAAUUUGCUGUGUACAAG